rnacentral:tRNA from 1 species
ACCUUAAUAGUUUAAAAAAACCCUGGUCUUGUAAAUCAGAAAUAAGAUUAGUCUUUUAAGGU